GUUGUUCACGACAUGUCAGGACAAGGAGAGUAAUUAUAUACACCAGGCUUCCUUUUACAGAGUCAGUGACGAUGCUGAAGGAUUUUCUGCUUGUUAUAAUAAUUGCAAUCGAAGUAAAGGGUGAGGCGUGUCCCUUGGGUACAUAUGGUGAAACCUGUAACAAAAACUGCAGUACUAACUGUGCCCCUUCUGCUUCUGACAAGGCCGUCUACUGUCACAAACUGACUGGAAAAUGUUCGGAAGGAUGCAAUAGAGGCUGGCAUGGGGACCAGUGUAAUCUGGGGUGUAGCAAGAACUGCCUCAACGAUGUCUGUGAAGUACAAGCUGGAACUUGCAUAAAAUGUAAAACGAACUAUUCAGGGGAUUAUUGUGAGACAUACAAAG